AGCCUUUAGGUCUCACUCUGACAAGGGGCAAAACCGAGCCGUCCAGGCAGAGGGGGUCUGAAGCUGGGGGCUUGUCUGUUUGCUCAGCUAAUCUCAGCACCACGUCAGACAUGCUAAAGCCGAUGGUCUGAACCAGAGGCGAAUACUCAGAGUUCAAGGCCAUACACUGUUGUCCUACCCUCAGUUCAUGGCUCUGCUCUAAGCUCUGCUAGGCAGUGUAAUGGAGAUUCUUCCCUAAUGGAGGUUCAUGGACGCACAGCACAAAAACCAGAAUGAUAAAUGAAAAUAAUUGAACGAUGUCAACACAUCAAGAGACGUUGAGCCCAAACAGCAUUCGCAAACCUGGAACUUUUAUCUAUACCUCUGAAAACAGCCGUUCAGGAGUCUGGGAGUCUGAAAGUCAGUCCAUUGAUCUCAGUGGAAGAAAUCAGUCAGGGGCGGAAGAAUAGAACAGGGUGUGUGUUUUACAUGUAGGUUCCUGGGCGCUGUGCCCUGGAGACUGUCAUUCGGAAGCUGAGGCUGUGAAUCCUCCCUGGAACUGAC